UGGGGAAUAUUGGACAAUGGGCGAAAGCCUGAUCCAGCCACGCCGCGUGAGUGAUGAAGGCCUUCGGGUCGUAAAGCUCUGUGGGGAGGGACGAACGUCCGGGUGUAGAGCCCGGGGUGACGGUACCUCCUUAGCAAGCACCGGCUAACUUCGUGCCAGCAGCCGCGGUAAUACGAAGGGUGCAAACGUUGCUCGGAAUCAUUGGGCGUAAAGCGCACGUAGGCGGCCUCGCAAGUCGGAUGUGAAAUCCCUCGGCUCAACCGAGGACGUGCAUCCGAAACUGCGGGGCUUGAGUACUGAAGAGGAUCGCGGAAUUCCCGGUGUAGAGGUGAAAUUCGUAGAUAUCGGGAGGAACACCAGUGGCGAAGGCGGCGAUCUGGGCAGAUACUGACGCUGAGGUGCGAAAGCGUGGGGAGCAAACAGG
rnacentral:rRNA from 1 species